rnacentral:misc_RNA from 1 species
UAGCAUGCCGCGCCUCGUGGAAGACCACGCACAAAACGGCGCGCGACGGGUCGUCGUGACGGGUAUGGGCCUGGUCACCCCCCUCGGCUCCGGUGUCGAGAAGAACUGGGCGGCGCUAAUGGCCGGUCGUUCCGGCAUCGGCCCGAUCACCCGUUUCGAGUGCGCCGACUUCCCAUCGCGGAUCGCCGGCGAGGUUCGCGACUUCGCGGUCGAGGAUUACAUCGAGCGGCGCGAGAUCAAGAAGAUGGACGCGUUCAUCCACUACGCCAUCGGGGCGGCGCAGAUGGCGAUCGAUCAGUCGGGGCUGAAGAUCCCACCCGCCGAUGCCGAUCGUGUCGGGGUGAUCGUUGGCGUCGGGAUGGGGGGGCUGCAGAGCAUCGAGCAGUUCCAUACGCUCUAC